AGCCCCGUAGUCUAGCGGUCAAGGAUGCAGGGUUCUGGCCCCUGUGACCCCGGUUCGAAUCCGGGCGGGGCUA
rnacentral:tRNA from 1 species